AUUACAGUGCUGUCACAGCCUUUUUAACAGAAUUUUUAUCACAACACCGCAUUUCCCUGUUGGGAUCGUUCACUCUGUGGGCUGUGGGGUUUUUGGGUCUGAGCUCCCUCACGGCAGCGCUGACACCCUCAGGAGCGGGGAGGGAAAGCAGAGUCGGGGCUGCUGGCAGGGCAGGGGGUUCUACCCCAGAGCAGAUCCAGCGGCUGCCAACCAGCCUGGCCAGGAGGGAUCUGCUCUGGCUCCUGCAGGGAAGGAGUUUCCAGCCGAUUCAGCCGGCAUUGCAGCGGCCUCAUCUCCCGAUUCAGGUGACAUUCCAGCAGCCUCAUCUCCCAAUUCAGGUGACAUUGUAGCAGCCUCAUCUCCCGGCACUUCCCCAUGCCGCUUCCGCCCCUCCUGCUCUCAGCUCCUGCCCGUUCUGAGGGGAAUUUGUCCCACCAGCAGCAGGGGAAGGACACCAGCUGCCACCCUGGGACUUGGAUUGUUCCCCUGGGGAAUGCUGGCUACUGGGAUGUAGAUUAUUCCAUGUAUUUGGUUGCUGAAAUUUCCCAGCCCAGGGGUUUUAACUGACAGGGCAGCACAAAGAUUGUUCUCUAUGUGGUGCCUAGAUUUGGGGUUUGGUAUCAGCUUUGCUAGUUCAGGUGAGUUACACCCACAGCCCCACAUUCCCUGAUGAAUUCCUGCUGGAAUAACCUGACCAGUGCCUCAUGGAGAGUGGAAAUUCCCAUGCAGAGGUAUCACUUUUGCACCAGCUGUGUCAGGAGCCAGCAGAGGUUCCAGGGAAGUUGAGUGGGAUCUGGACAAGGACAGGUCUAUAUUUCAUAGAACUUGCUGUUUAAAACCCUUAUUCCCCAGCUCCACUGAUGUCCCUGGGGUUACUUGGCAGAGUUCCCUGGAACCCAACUAAUUUCACUCCUCACCCAGACCUCAGGCUCCCGUUGAUACUUUAAAGCAGGACAAGGCAGUGGCUGGAUGCACUCCCAGCCUGUACUGAGUCAGCACACCUCUCCCUGAAGAAGCCCAGCUCCUUUCAGAGCCUCAGCAGUAACCUUCUGCACGUUUUUUCCCCUCAGGAAAGGGAUGCACAUCCCGGCCUUCAGCACACUUCCAGUGGUACCCACCUGCAAAAGUUUUCUGUCAUUUCUGCACUUCCAGCUGGCUCCCUGGAAAGUUCCAAACUUCAUCCUGCUUGAACCUCUAAUUUUGAGGCAUCUCCCAGGUAUAUUGCUUGGGAUUCAAUAUCUGUGAGGGAAGAUGACUUUGGCUUUAGUACUGCUGAGGGAUGAUGGCCUCAAGCUGGAAAAGAGAGAGGAGAUUUGGGGUGGCCGAGACAUACCUGGGAACUGUGUGGAAGCUCUGGGAGGUCAGAAACGGGAACUGCUGUCUGACCCCCUCUGCAAACGGUCU
rnacentral:lncRNA from 1 species